rnacentral:rRNA from 1 species
UACGAAGGGGGGCUAGCGUUGCUCGGAAUCACUGGGCGUAAAGCGCACGUAGGCGGAUCCUUAAGUCGGGGGUGAAAUCCUGGAGCUCAACUCCAGAACUGCCUUUGAUACUGAAGAUCUUGAGUUCGGGAGAGGUGAGUGGAACUGCGAGUGUAGAGGUGAAAUUCGUAGAUAUUCGCAAGAACACCGGUGGCGAAGGCGGCCAAACUGGACCAUUACUGACGCUGAGGCGCGAAAGCGUGGGGAGCAAACAGG